GACGAACGCUGGCGGCGUGCCUAAUACAUGCAAGUCGAGCGGACUUUCAAGAAGCUUGCUUUUUGAAAGUUAGCGGCGGACGGGUGAGUAACACGUGGGCAACCUGCCUGCAAGACGGGGAUAACUCCGGGAAACCGGGGCUAAUACCGGAUAAUAUCUUCCUUCGCAUGAAGGAAGGUUGAAAGGCGGCGCAAGCUGCCGCUUGCAGAUGGGCCCGCGGCGCAUUAGCUAGUUGGUGAGGAAACGGCUCACCAAGGCGACGAUGCGUAGCCGGCCCGAGAGGGUGGUCGGCCACACUGGGACUGAGACACGGCCCAGACUCCUACGGGAGGCAGCCGUAGGGAAUCUUCCGCAAUGGACGAAAGUCUGACGGAGCAACGCCGCGUGAGCGAAGAAGGUCUUCGGAUCGUAAAGCUCUGUUGUCAGGGAAGAACAAGUACCGUUCGAACAGGGCGGUACCUUGACGGUACCUGACCAGAAAGCCACGGCUAACUACGUG
rnacentral:rRNA from 1 species